AAAACUAGAAGAGUAGAGAUUGGGGAGGGGUGUGAGGGAGAGAUUGGGGAAGGCGUGUGAUGGAGCUUCGGGAAUGGCGGUGAAGGGGCGAAAGGCGCCGAUGAUGAAGGAUUAGGAGCGAAUCGGUGAGAAGCGGCGUCGAUGAAUGAU